CGGCCUCCCAGUCUCUGGCCCGGAGGAGCCGAGAGCUCGGGGCCCCACUCCUCAGUGCGCCCUCAGAGAAUAGUGCCCAAUUACUCCCAUCUCCCUGGCCUCUGGCCAUGCUCUGAGCUCACCUAGGCUGCGACCGGUUUAAGUCUUGGUGAUGAGAUCGGACCUGAAGUCAGCUGCUGAAGAUUCUGAAGAUGGUUCCUAGGAGCAGGUGAAGAUAUCCACAGAGCCUCUUUGUUUACAGCCUCUUCAGCACUCUCCAGAAUCUCUGUACCUGUAAGGAUACCAGCUUACCUGUUUUCAUCCAGUGGGAAGGAAACUCUGCAAGGAAGCCAUGACCGGAGCACGCGGUGCAGGACCCCUGACUGUGCUUUCCGUGUAAGCACAGAAAUCCUACAGCGGCCUUUCUAAAAAGUGUCCUUGAGUAUCAGAGUCAGUCGCUGUAAAAAGACAAACUGGAUCACUUUUCAAAGCUGCCAGCUGGAAUCUUAACUGGAAAUUCUGCAGAAAUACCUGUUAAUGUUUCCAGUGUUCAUGACCUUAAAAAAAUAAAAAAUAAAAAAAAUUGCUGGAUCAUUCAUUCUUAAAAAAUUAUUAUUAUAACUGUAUUGUUUUAGUGAUGUGAAGGUUCAUUUCCUAUUUCUUGUGAUUUAUGGUUCUACGUCUUUAGGAAUGGUAGCC